CAGCGCCUCGAGUGGCGAUCGCGAUUAUUGGGCCUAAAGCGUUCGUAGCCGGUUUGGUAAAUUCCUUGUGAAAUCGUCAUGCUCAACGUGACGGCGUGCAGGGAACACUGCCAAACUCGAGACCGGGAGGAGUCAGAGGUAUGCCAUGGGGACCGGUAAAAUGGGAUAAUCCAUGGUAGACCAUCGAUGGCGAAGGCAUCUGACCAGAACGGGUCUGACGGUGAGGGACGAAGGCUAGGGGAGCAAACCGGAUUAGAUACCCGAGUAGUCC
rnacentral:rRNA from 1 species